ensembl:lncRNA
GGAGAAGAGCUUUGAAGGCAGUAGUAAGAGAAGGGAGGACAGACAGUCCCACGAUUCAGUCUGUUCUCCUCCUCCUUGCCCUGAGUAGUUAUUUUCACCAGUACCCCUCUCCUCCCCCCCAAAACAUCCAUUCUGGUCCAACGCUGAGGCAGGGGGUGUGGUGUUAGGGCUCAGCACUCCCUUGUGCAAGUCUGAGGAAGAGGAGAGAGCGGGACAGGGGUACUGAACAUCGAGGGGAAACGCAAGUCUUCAUCACCUGCCGCAAACAGCUGCUGCUGUGUCCCCUAAAGACACCGACAGAACCCAGUGAACAGUCCCAUACAGUAUACUGGACAUGGAGGCGGGACCUGAUGAGGGAGCAGUGGGGGCUGCGUCUGCCAACGAGGCCUCCGAGACGACCCCCAGCGACACGUCGUCAGGCACACUGACCAGUCAGCAGCUAGCUGCUAUUGAGGAUGAAGAAGUCCUGAAUAAACUGGUGGGGCACUCGCGUUGGAUAAGGCUGUGGAUUUUGAUGAAAGGCGAAUGAUCCGUGCCGCAUUGAGAGACCUGCUCAAGAAGAAGAGAGAGAAGCGAGAGAAAGAGCGGGGGUCACGGCAAGAUGACCUGAGACAGCAGGCUUUGAGUAAAGCAGGCACAGGACGAAUGGGAAUGAACAGGGGCCAGACCAGCAAUCACCAGCCUAAAUCCCACAUGCACAGCCAAUUUCCUGCGUCAACCACCAGCUCCUUGUCUAAGACAACUAGCAGCAUGGCCAACCCAGCUAUCGCAACAGCCCAUCAGUCUUCCCCUGUCGCUGCAGCACCCAACAUGAAAAAUGUCAAGCAGAUGUUACUGGAUUGGUGCAGGGCCAAAACCGAACCAUAUGAGGUAAGCAUCGGAGGUCUCUCUGUAAAGGAGUGUACGUUCACUAAAUGUUGCUAGUCAAACAAAAGCUGGCCUCAAUCUUAGUUAGGAAAGACGUCAACAACUCCAGUUCCAGUUAUGAUGUUUAAUGGCAAAUGAUGUUGAAUACUGUGUGUAAGUCUGUGUGUGUGGUUUUGUUACAUGAACGCACACGUGUACAGAGUUAUUAUCGGUAAGGAAACAAGAAAAGGCAAGGUGCGCCGGGGGGAAAUAUGUUGCUGCAUUCAAGAAGUUUGGGCAGGUUCUGACCGAAGGAUAUGCAACAACAUAUCUACUCAUGCACAGAAACAGGUGAGUGAGGCAGCACUCAGAAGAGCAGGGAAUAUUAUACAGCUGCCCCCAAUUACAUAGGCAUAUUGUAAUUAAAUGUAAAGUUCCCACAGAGUUCUGGGGUGCUGUACAUGAAAAACUCAACCAACAAUGGAGCUGGUUAGGUAUAGGUAAGGGCUGUGAAAAAGAGUUCCUCUGCUUUGGAAGGAUUUGCCCAGCUAACAAUUCUAGGGAGAGAGAACAUGUUUGCAAUGUUACCAGUCAUGUUCCCCUAAUGUUUGAGUGUCCAGUUUUCCGUUAGUUAAGGGAACAUUCUAUCUAUGUUAGUAAAAAAGCUUCUGAGAUCCUUUUUAGCAUGUUUUGUCAUUGAAGUUAGGAGAACAUCCCCUUAAUGUCAAGUAGACGUU